CACGUAGGGUGCAAGCGUUGUCCGGAAUUAUUGGGCGUAAAGAGCUCGUAGGCGGUCUGUCGCGUCGGAUGUGAAAACCCAGGGCUCAACCCUGGGCCUGCAUUCGAUACGGGCAGACUAGAGUUCGGUAGGGGAGACUGGAAUUCCUGGUGUAGCGGUGAAAUGCGCAGAUAUCAGGAGGAACACCGGUGGCGAAGGCGGGUCUCUGGGCCGAAACUGAUGCUGAGGAGCGAAAGCGUGGGGAGCAAACAGG
rnacentral:rRNA from 1 species